UCUCGCCUGCCCUGUGACCCAGUUUARCGGCCGCGGUAUCUUAACCGUGCAAAGGUAGCAUAAUCAAUUGUUCCUUAAAUAGGGACUAGUAUGAACGGCACCACGAGGGUUUAACUGUCUCCCCCACCUAAUCAAUGAAACUGCUCUUCUCGUGAAGAAUCGAGAAUACUAAUAUAAGACGAGAAGACCCCAUGGAGCUUUAAACUUAUUAUCACCUGCUUUAAAUAAGUCACAACAAUCAGCAAAAAUGCUCUUAAUAGUUUUCGGCUGGGGCGACCCCGGAGCAAAACAAACCCUCCGGGAUGAAAGGAAUCAAGAACCUAAUCCUAGAAAGACAUCUCAAAGAAUCAACACUUUGACACUAAUGACCCAAUAAUAAUAUUGAUCAACGAACCAAGUUACCCUGGGGAUAACAGCGCAAUCCAUUUCAAGAGCCCCUAUCGACAAAUGGGUUUACGACCUCGAUGUUGGAUCGGGAUACCCAAGCAGCGCAGCCGUUGCUAAAGGUUCGUUUGUUCAACGAUUAAUAACCCCACGUGAUCU
rnacentral:rRNA from 1 species